UACAGAGGGGGCAAGCGUUGUUCGGAAUUACUGGGCGUAAAGGGCGCGUAGGCGGCCUGCUAAGUCGAGCGUGAAAUCCCCGGGCUCAACCCGGGAACUGCGUCCGAUACUGGCAGGCUUGAAUCCGGGAGAGGGAUGCGGAAUUCCAGGUGUAGCGGUGAAAUGCGUAGAUAUCUGGAGGAACACCGGUGGCGAAGGCGGCAUCCUGGACCGGCAUUGACGCUGAGGCGCGAAAGCCAGGGGAGCAAACGGG
rnacentral:rRNA from 1 species